CGAGUGCUCCAAGCGUUAUCCGGAAUUAUUGGGCGUAAAGGGUGUGUAGGUGGUUGUGUUAGUCUUCUGUUAAAUUCUUCGGCUUAACCGGGGGCAUGCAGAGGAAACGGCACAACUAGAGGAUGCGAGAGGUGAACGGAACUCAUGGAGUAGGGGUGAAAUCCGUUGAUAUCAUGGGGAACACCAAAUGCGAAGGCAGUUCACUGGCGCACUCCUGACACUGAGACACGAAAGCGUAGGUAGCGAAUGGGAUUAGAUACCCCAGUAGUCUACGCCCUAAACGAUGACAACUAGCUUUUCGGAGUAUCGACCCUCUGAGAGGCGAAGCUAACGCGUUAAGUUGUCCGCCUGGGUAGUACGGCCGCAAGGCUA
rnacentral:rRNA from 1 species